UUCGUUGGUAAAUUUUAAUUGAAGGUGUGUUUUUAUGAUAAUUGGACUCUAAUGACGAGGUAACGGAUAGUGUGACAUUUCAUUACAGUUAUGAGCUUAUUAUGCAUUGAUGAGGGACGCAAUCGCGUUUAUGAUUUUUCAACAACAUGAUCUCAGUUUAACCAGCAAAAAUUAACAUCCAAGUUGAAGACAAGCAAGCAGACUUCAGCCACUACCAAAAAGACUUGUCAUGUUCCAGAACCCACUUUAUCAACAAGAAGCAGUGGACGUAAAAGAUGCAUGAAAUUUGUUGGAAGAAAGAUUUCACAUGCGUGGUGUCCAGCUGAAGGGUCA